UACGUAGGGUGCGAGCGUUUGUCCGGAAUUAUUGGGCGUAAAGAGCUCGUAGGCGGUCUGUCGCGUCGGUCGUGAAGACUUGGGGCUUAACCCUGAGCUUGCGGUCGAUACGGGCAUGACUGGAGUUCGGCAGGGGAGACUGGAAUUCCUGGUGUAGCGGUGAAAUGCGCAGAGUAUCAGGAGGAACACCGGUGGCGAAGGCGGGUCUCUGGGCCGAUACUGACGCUGGAGGAG
rnacentral:rRNA from 1 species